AUUUAUAUAGUUUAAAUAAAACAUUAUAUUUUCAUUAUAAAAAUAAUUUAAUAUUUGUAAAUU
rnacentral:tRNA from 1 species